rnacentral:misc_RNA from 1 species
ACAAACUUGGUCAUUUAGAGGAAGUACAAGUCGUAACAAGGUAUCCGUAGGUGAACCUGCGGAUGGAUCAUUACCAAAGAUUCUCCAAAGUCUUGUGCACUGUUUUGAAUCGACUGUUGGGGUGCUGGUUUGGUUGGUAUGGCCUGGCCUGCCCGCCAAGCCCGCCCCAGCAGCAACAAUACACGUAUAUAAUGCUAAGCUUACGUCUACUUUAGUAGUAUAUCAAACUAAAGACAACUUUUAGCAACGGAUCUCUUGGCUCUCGCAUCGAUGAAGAACGCAGC